AUGACACUUAUCUUGGAAGGUGAUGCGGAUGCAACAUUUAUGAAAUGCACAAUCAAUUUAAUAAGCAAAUUAUCUAUGGGGUUACUCUCCGGCUGUUACAGGCACGAGAUAGCUGGAGAUUGCAGUGCGCAUGUAGGUGUUGGGUCUUUGCAUAUCGAAGUCCUGCACAUCCAGCAGCUUCCCCUUCUUGAUGUCAACAGUGAUCACUCUCGAGUUCCUGGAGGUUCUGCGGCUGGCAUUGGUCCUGAGGUACAAGAAGCCAUCUUCGUGGGCGCUGAGAAUGGGGUUGGUAACAAAUAG
rnacentral:rRNA from 1 species